GCCUUCGUGGUGUAGUGGUUAGCACGCUCGGCACGUAUUCGAAAGGUCCGUGGUUCGAGUCCCGGCGAGGGCA
rfam:Stegodyphus mimosarum contig85406, whole genome shotgun sequence.